AUGGAAAGACCGGUACAAGCGAGGUAGGAGAAGAGUUGGCAAAUCCGCUCUUUAAUCUGAAGACGUGAUGUGGACUGGAAAUAAGUAGGGAAGCACGUGAGCUGACUGUCAAGAAAAGCCGCUAUUGUUUGCAGGAUACCCGUACCGUAAACCGACACAGGUGGAUGAGGAGAGAAUCCUAAGGCCGACGGGAGAAGCAUUGUUAAGGAACUCGGCAAAAUGACUCCGUAACUUCGGGAGAAGGAGUGCCAGUAAGAUGGCCGCAGAGAAUUGGCCCAAGCAACUGUUUAGCAAAAACACAGGUCUAUGCAAAACCGAAAGGUGAGGUAUAUGGGCUGACGCCUGCCCGGUGCUGGAAGGUUAAGGGGAGAGGUUAGCGCAAGCGAAGCUUUGAAUUUAAGCCCCAGUAAACGGCGGCCGUAACUAUAACGGUCCUAAGGUAGCGAAAUUCCUUGUCGGGUAAGUUCCGACCCGCACGAAAGGCGUAAUGAUUUGGGCACUGUCUCAACAAUGCACCCGGUGAAAUUGAAAUACCAGUGAAGAUGCUGGUUACCUGCGCCAGGACGGAAAGACCCCAUGGAGCUUUACUCCAGCUUGAUACUGGGAUUCGGUAUUGCAUGUACAGGAUAGGUGGGAGGCUAGGAAAUGGUAACGCCAGUUGCCAUGGAGCCAAUGUUGGGAUACCACCCUUGCAGUACUGGGUUUCUAACCAGCAGCCGUGAUCCGGCUGGGGGACAAUGUCAGGUGGGGAGUUUGACUGGGGCGGUCGCCUCCGAAAGGGUAUCGGAGGCGCUCAAAGGUUCCCUCAGAAUGGUUGGAAACCAUUCGAAGAGUGCAAAGGCAGAAGGGAGCUUGACUGCGACACCGACGGGUGGAGCAGGUACGAAAGUAGGACUUAGUGAUCCGGUGGUAUAAAGUGGGAUUGCCAUCGCUCAACGGAUAAAAGCUACCCUGGAUAACAGGCUUAUCACUCCCAAGAGUUCACAUCGACGGAGUGGUUUGGCACCUCGAUGUCGGCUCAUCGCAUCCUGGGGCUGAAGUAGGUCCCAAGGGUUGGGCUGUUCGCCCAUUAAAGCGGUACGCGAGCUGGGUUCAGAACGUCGUGAGGCAGUUCGGUCCCUAUCCGGCGUGGGCGUAAGAUAUUUGAGAGGAGCUGUCCUUAGUACGAGAGGACCGGGAUGGACUGGCCGCUGGUGUAUCUGUUGUCUUACCAAAGGCAUAGCAGAGUAGCCAAGCCGGGAAGGGAUAAACGCUGAAGGCAUCUAAGCGUGAAGCCCCCCUCAAGAUGAGAUAUCUCAUAACGUCAAGUUAGUAAGACCCCUUGAAGACGACGAGGUAGAUAGGGCAGAGGUGGAAGUGUGGUAACACAUGGAGCUGACUGUUACUAAUAGGUCGAGGGCAUAACCG
rnacentral:rRNA from 1 species